ACGUAAUUUAACGACUUACGUAGAAGACCUGCUAUCUCUUGUACACGACUUUGAGCAUGUAUUAGCGCUUGAGCGGAGACGCUGUCAUGAUGAAGUCAUCGGGCACACGUUUCUUAUUUUCCCUUUUACUGGUUGGAUUUAAAUACAGCUUGGCAGAAAAACCCACCAUAGACCGUUUGGAGAUCACCGGACAAGCGGUGGAAGGAACUUCUAUACUCCCGGGCUUAAAAUACUGCGUCGACGUCGGAUUUCGUUGUUCCUUCAGGAGAUGCUGCCCUCCAUACGGCUGUCAGCACCCUAUAUACCGAUGCAUCGUGCCGUAGCCUGUGCUUCUCAAAGAGGAAGUCGAUCGUUAGAUGCACAACUUUUUUUUCAUCAGCAGUCCUCAAAAUGAACAUUUACAGACAGUUUCACAAUAAAUUUUGUCACCAGUUU